UACGGGGGGGAGCAAGCGUUGUUCGGAUUUACUGGGCGUAAAGGGCUCGUAGGCGGCCAACUAAGUCAGACGUGAAAUCCCUCGGCUUAACCGGGGAACUGCAUCUGAUACUGGAUGGCUUGAGAUUGGGAGAGGGAUGCGGAAUUCCAGGUGUAGCGGUGAAAUGCGUAGAUAUCUGGAGGAACACCGGUGGCGAAGGCGGCAUCCUGGACCAACACUGACGCUGAGGAGCGAAAGCCAGGGGGAGCAAACGGG
rnacentral:rRNA from 1 species